rnacentral:lncRNA from 1 species
AAAAAUAACACACGUAUAACCUUUGAAGAAAUCUGCCACAGAGCUGGACGCUGGAUUCAAGAUGGGUUCCACAAGGAAUAAUGCUCCAGGGUUAAGAGAAAGACCUUGCAGCUUUACUGAAAGCAUCCACUUCCACAGCUUUUCCAGAAAGAACUGCUCAAUAUUCCCAGUCCCUAUGUGCUCAGUUGUGGUUCAAAGAUGUCAAAGAUGGGCUUUCUCCAAGCAUUUCUGAUGUUGUAUUGGACUUCGCAACAAGGAUAAGGCUGCUAGAGAUAGAAAAUGAUCGUGAAAGACUUUUCGCUGUGUUUCUUGUGGCCAUGCCGGCCCUCAGACAUCCCC